UACAGAGGUGGCAAGCGUUGUUCGGAAUUACUGGGCGUAAAGGGCGCGUAGGUGGCCUUGUUAGUCAGACGUGAAAUCCCCAAGCUUAACUUGGGAACUGCGUCUGAUACUGCAAGGCUUGAGUUUGGGAGAGGGAUGCGGAAUUCCAGGUGUAGCGGUGAAAUGCGUAGAUAUCUGGAGGAACACCGGUGGCGAAGGCGGCAUCCUGGACCAACACUGACGCUGAGGAGCGAAAGCCAGGGGAGCAAACGGG
rnacentral:rRNA from 1 species